rnacentral:rRNA from 1 species
UACGUAGGUGGCAAGCGUUGUCCGGAAUUAUUGGGCGUAAAGCGCGCGCAGGUGGUUUCUUAAGUCUGAUGUGAAAGCCCACGGCUCAACCGUGGAGGGUCAUUGGAAACUGGGGAACUUGAGUGCAGAAGAGGAAAGUGGAACUCCAAGUGUAGCGGUGAAAUGCGUAGAGAUUUGGAGGAACACCAGUGGCGAAGGCGACUUUCUGGUCUGUAACUGACACUGAGGCGCGAAAGCGUGGGGAGCGAACAGG